rnacentral:lncRNA from 1 species
CUGCCCUGAUGUUUCCUGGAAUAAUGCUGAGGACUGCCUUUCGGGUAGCCUCCCUAUUCAGUUCACUUCAUCUCGGAAAUACCUGACCCCUGCCUUGGAUCCAGCGGCCCUCCUGAGAGCUGAGGAAGGAGGAAAUCCUACAUGUCUGCUCCCGGAGCUGCCACAACCCAUCUUCCCACAACUCGGAACUUGGAAAAAGGAACCCAGGACACGACUUUGCUUUUCUUUUGGACCUAGUUGAAGUCACAGCUUGGAGGAAACCAGUUUGCACUGUUUGAGGAGGAAUUUGGCCACCAAACCACUGAUACUUUCCCAAAGGUUUGGCAGAAAUUGUUUUUUGAGUGGCUCACCAGAGUACCUAGAAGAAUCAGCAUGGAAUUAGAGGACAGUGGCCUACCCUAAAUAAAGACAUGAGUGAUGU